CAGCAGCCGCGGUAAUACGUAGGUGGCAAGCGUUGUCCGGAAUUAUUGGGCGUAAAGGGCUCGCAGGCGGUUUCUUAAGUCUGAUGUGAAAGCCCCCGGCUCAACCGGGGAGGGUCAUUGGAAACUGGGAAACUUGAGUUCAGAAGAGGAGAGUGGAAUUCCACGUGUAGCGGUGAAAUGCGUAGAGAUGUGGAGGAACACCAGUGGCGAAGGCGACUCUCUGGUCUGUAACUGACGCUGAGGAGCGAAAGCGUGGGGAGCGAACAGGAUUAGAGACCCGCGUAGUCCCUGUCUCUUAUAC
rnacentral:rRNA from 1 species